rnacentral:rRNA from 1 species
AUUGAACGCUGGCGGCAGGCCUAACACAUGCAAGUCGAGCGGAUGAGGGUAGCUUGCUAUCUGAUUCAGCGGCGGACGGGUGAGUAAUGCCUAGGAAUCUGCCUGGUAGUGGGGGACAACGUUUCGAAAGGAACGCUAAUACCGCAUACGUCCUACGGGAGAAAGUGGGGGAUCUUCGGACCUCACGCUAUCAGAUGAGCCUAGGUACGAUUAGCUAGUUGGUGAGGUAAAGGCUCACCAAGGCGACGAU